CGUAGGGUGCGAGCGUUAAUCGGAAUUACUGGGCGUAAAGCGUGCGCAGGCGGUUUUGUAAGACAGGCGUGAAAUCCCCGGGCUCAACCUGGGAACUGCGCUUGUGACUGCAAGGCUAGAGUACGGCAGAGGGGGGUGGAAUUCCACGUGUAGCAGUGAAAUGCGUAGAGAUGUGGAGGAACACCAAUGGCGAAGGCAGCCCCCUGGGUCGAUACUGACGCUCAUGCACGAAAGCGUGGGUAGCAAACAGGAUUAGAUACCCUGGUAGUCCACGCCCUAAACGAUGUCAACUAGGUGUUGGGUGGGUAAAACCAUUAAGUACCGGAGCUAACGCGUGAAGUUGACCGCCUGGGGAGUACGGCCGCAAGGUUA
rnacentral:rRNA from 1 species